CUCCUGCAGGUGGAGGAAACAAGGAGGACAAUCCAUUCCUGCUACUAGGUCUAGCCGAAUAUCCACCAUAAUCCAGCCCAGUUCUCAGAUGUGAAAUAUGAUUCUGUGUCCAUUUAGUUGAUCCUGUAAUUGGUGGCUUGGUGAGAUGCAUGAGAUAUGAAGCAAGGAAUCCUGUACCUUCACGCAGCUUGAUUACUUUUUCUUCCCUUGUUUUCUUGUCUGAAUGGAAUCUGAAUAAAUAGAGCAACUACGGGGAUUAGUGUAAAGCUUAAGGCCGCAAGGUGGAAUUUCCUCAUGGAACCUUGCCACAUUUGAUGCUUCACGACAGAAUUAGGUCUCUCCAGGUCCAGGUAGCUGAGCCAUGAAUGUGACAGGAAUCAAACAAACUAAUGAAAUAUAGCACAAUGAUCAAGUGCCUAUUUGUCUCAAAACAGGGAUUGAAAGACUCUUUGUUUUCAUUCAUCAUCUCUUGUUUCCUUCCAUAGAAAGCUUCAUGGACUUUCCCUUAUGAGAAGGAUGUAAAAUUUUGUUUAACUUAUCAACAUAAUCUGUUUGCACU